CGCUGAUCAUCAUAAAUGGUUUGGUCCCGGUCAUGCCGCCUGUGAGGAAUGCUACCGCCAUUUGUCCGACGGUGACUAGCGUCACGGCUACGGAUAGCCAUGUGCCGCACGAAAGUCCACGACCAUCACCUUUGACCACGGGCAGCUCAAACAACGCU